rnacentral:lncRNA from 1 species
ACCAUCUCUACCAAAGCUCCGAUCACUUCUCUCUCUCAUCUAUAGAAGGACGACGGUGGUUUUGCGGUGGCGACGCUGCGACAAUGGACAAUGGUGCUAGGUUCACUCAAGCGAACGAUGACGGCAGUACUAGCGGCUAGGGUUCAGAUUUGUUACCGGUAACUAGGGUUUCUACCAGGUCUAGGGUUGACUCCAUCGUUGAUUGAGGUAAGAUAAGAUUGUUUUGAUCAUUUCAUUUGGUUGUAUAGUUACUUUCCAACCCACCAUGUUAUUCAUCUGUAACUCUGACGAGAGGAAGAAGAAGAGUGUGAGGAAAGCGGAGAUGGUAGUUUGGAGGAGCUGUAUAGAGGAUCAAAGAGGAAAAUGCAGCUUUGGAGAAUUGUGUUUUUGAUGAUACGGAGGAGGAGGAUUUUCAAUGCUCUUAACUUCUUAAGGUAAAUAACCAUCAAGAAAAUGUUAGAUAUGGGACGAGCUUCGGUAUGUUAAUAUGUACGGCUAGACCAGUUGGACCAGAUGCUUAACGAAGAUGGGAUAACCGAUUGUGUCACGAAGAUACAUUAGCAUAGGUAUGGCGCAUUAGGUUUAGUCUUUUAGCAUAGAAAAAAUUGUUACAAUUGUAGUUUUUGUGAAGUGUUGUAAUAGCAAUUAGUAUUUAAAUGUGUUCACGAAGGAAAAUUGGCCGGCGAUAUUGUGGCAGUUAU